GAUGAACGCUGGCGGCGUGCCUAAUACAUGCAAGUCGAGCGAACAGACGAGGAGCUUGCUCCUCUGACGUUAGCGGCGGACGGGUGAGUAACACGUGGAUAACCUACCUAUAAGACUGGGAUAACUUCGGGACAGCGGAGCUAAUACCGGAUAAUAUAUUGAACCGCAUGGUUCAAUAGUGAAAGACGGUUUUGCUGUCACUUAUAGAUGGAUCCGCGCCGCAUUAGCUAGUUGGUAAGGUAACGGCUUACCAAGGCAACGAUGCGUAGCCGACCUGAGAGGGUGAUCGGCCACACUGGAACUGAGACACGGUCCAGACUCCUACGGGAGGCAGCAGUAGGGAAUCUUCCGCAAUGGGCGAAAGCUUGACGGAGCAACGCCGCGUGAGUGAUGAAGGUCUUCGGAUCGUAAAACUCUGUUAUUAGGGAAGAACAAAUGUGUAAGUAACUAUGCACGUCUUGACGGUACCUAAUCAGAAAGCCACGGCUAACUACGUG
rnacentral:rRNA from 1 species